CAUCCCAAUUCACUCCCGAGUCCCGACCUACCCACCCCAUUCCCCAUUUCCCCAUCCGUGCGAGUGCGCCGGCGGCCAGGAGCGGCGGGUGGAGCAUUGCGGCCAAAUCUGCCGCCCCGCUAGCCGCCGGCCAUGGAGGCCGCCGCAGCGCCAGCGGCACCCGUCCCCGACCAGGGGGGUUCCCAUUGGAACGCAUCGAAGGCGGCACGGAGGGGCGACUGCGAUGAGAGCGCCGCCGAUUUCAUCAGCAGGGUCCCCGACGCCGUCCUCUGCACCAUCAUCUCCCUCCUCCCCACCAAGGACGGCGGCCGCACGCAGGUCUUCUCCCGCCGAUGGCGCCCCCUGUGGCGCUCCGCCCCUCUCAACCUCGAGGUCCGCCCAUACCCCGGCCGCGGCGUCCGCACCUCCUCCGUCGCCCCCGAUGUCGUCCCCAAGGUAAUCUCGCAGCAUCCUGGUCCCGCCCGCCGAUUCUGCUUCCACGGCCUCCGCCCCGGCGACCUCCACGACCAGGCGGAGAGCUGGUUCCGCUCCCGAGCCCUCGCCAACCUUGAGGAGCUCGAUGUCGGCUACAAGAUCUACGGUGAAAACGAUUUACAAGAACUUAUUGUGGCGAGAAUUUCCCUGCCGCCAUCCGCCUCGCUCUGCAUCUACCCUCCUCGUUGCCAAGAUCGGCUACUGUGAUUUGCCCCGAGAGAUGGUGCCGUCCAUGGGCUUUGACCUCCUCGAGCAUCUCUCCUUGAUCUCUGUUUCCAUCUCAGCGGACGUCUUCUGCGGACUGCUCUCUGCUUGCCGUGCGUUGGAGAGCUUACACAUGUCCGAACUUCGUGGUGCUCGUUGCCACCAUGUUCGCUCGCCGACUCUUAGGAGUAUCUGCUUCCGUGACACCUCUGGUAAAGUAGAGCUGGUCAUCGAGGAUGCGCCUCGCCUUGUGAGGUUACUAAUGCCUUUUGGUUGCCGAGAUGAUUGUGGUACUAUCCGUGUAAUUUGUGCGCCUAAACUGGAGUUGGGCUUUGUUACCUGUCGUCUCCAAGCUCCUAGCCUCCCAGGGAGUAAGUUCAGCCGACUUGGCAAACUCGAUGCACACGGUGAAGAUUUUGGCUCUUAGGUGUUCCGGGUAUGAAUUGGAUGGAGUUCUUAAUAUCCUUAGGAGGUUCCCCUGUCUCGAGAAGCUCUAUAUCAUUUUUCACAAACACAACGAGACGGAUACGAAAAUCGAGCCUCAAUGUGACCGACUAUAUCCAAUUGAAUGCCUUCAAACCAAUCUCAAAACAGUGGUGUUUGAAACAUUCGUGGGCCAUGAUAAACAGCUUGAGUUUGCCAAGUUUUUUGUUUUGAAUGCAAAAGUGCUAAACAAAAUUGAAUUUGAUGGAAUGUAUGGUGCCUACAACAGUGUAUCGCUGGCUUAUCAACACAGGCUGCUACGAGUGGAAGACAGAGCUUCUCGAGAUGCUCAAUUUGAAUUCAUGAAUAGAAAUCGAUAUACUGUGAAGCAUCUCCAAAAGCAUAUCCAUGAUUUGUCAGUGGCUGACCCCUUCGAACAGCCAUAGGCAGGGUUGAUGCCUGAAGAUUGCACUGUUCUUAGUGUCCUGUGCUUGUUUUGUAGACGAUAUUCAUUCCUUAAGAUCACAUCAUGUUCCACAUAGACCUGCCCUAUUUUCUAGCCUAAGGUUCCUCUGCCAUUCAAGUAACUUAUGAAGUUGCCACUGUUAACACUGCAAGAGAUUCUUUUGGAUGCAAAAACAGUGUGGAAAAUUUCUGAUGGAGAGGGAUGCAAAAACAUCACUGCUGACAGUUGUAACUGGUGACAGCUGGUAAGUGGUAAUCCCAUCUGCCAAAACUCCUACGGGCUAUGGUCUUAACCUGUGCAAUCGUUCGUGGCUUCGCUCUGCCUAAGCCGUGCUAGGAACACAUCCUUGUAUUGAAAACUUAAUUGUCUUUUCAGUUAGUACAUGCAAAAGCAGGAGAUGUUUGAUUGCUGAUCUGUUUUUUUAUUGUGUGUGUGCAUAUAUCAUUUGCUUGCUUUUGCAUAAAGAAUUUGUCCUUUUAGUUAUUAUUAUAUAAAGAAGCACACGAUGUUUGAUUG